UACGGAGGGUGCAAGCGUUAAUCGGAAUUACUGGGCGUAAAGAGUGCGUAGGUGGUUAUGUGUGUUAGAUGUGAAAUCCAUGGGCUCAACCUGUGAAUUGCAUUUAAAACUGCAUAGCUAGAGUGUUGUAGAGGGUGGCGGAAUUUCCAGUGUAGCGGUGAAAUGCGUAGAUAUUGGAAGGAACACCAGUGGCGAAGGCGGCCACCUGGACAAACACUGACACUGAGGUACGAAAGCGUGGGUAGCGAACAGG
rnacentral:rRNA from 1 species